GUCAGUUCGCGCUUCUGCCAAUUUUUGUAACUGUUUUGUACUUAUUCAAAUUUUGCACUUAUGCUUAUUCGUAAUGUUUGCAAACUUGUUUGGCGCACUUAUGUCAAUUCACACUUUUGCCAGUUUGCAAAUUUAAAGCUAAAGGUUAUCCUAGCUUAACUUUCCAGACAAUUCUUUUAACCCAGACUAUUCAUAUAUAUGACUACAAUAAUGGUUAGUGUACACUAAUGAUCUGAACUACACUAAUUUUUUAUGACAAAUUCAUUCAUGAUCAAAUUUAAUAUGGCAGCUGAAAAAGACAAAGGAUUGUUUUAGUCUAACCAAGCUAUACAACUUAAUAAAAGGUAAUUUCAUGGCCUACUAUAUUAUACGGCCGUAUAUGUUACAUUUUAGAGGCCGAUUCUAAGAGGCCUAUUUAUUAAAAAGAUGGCUGCGCAACUACAGAGAAAAAAACUCAUCAUCAGACAAUGUAAUUUCGAGUACAAAGAAAAGUGUAUUCAUCAGCGAUAAUUAAUCAUAGAGAUUUGUAUAUUUAUAAACAUAUAUAUCUAUGUAUAUUAUACAUGUAUUUGUAUCUAAUAUAUAUUUUUAUAUUUGUACAUUAUACAUUUAAAUUGACAACACGAUUUUUCA